rnacentral:rRNA from 1 species
UACGAAGGGGCUAGCGUUGUUCGGAAUUACUGGGCGUAAAGCGUGCGCAGGCGGCUUCUCAAGUCAGGGGUGAAAGCCCAGAGCUCAACUCUGGAAUUGCCUUUGAGACUGAGUGGCUUGAGUACGAGAGAGGUGAGUGGAAGUUCCCAGUGUAGAGGUGAAAUUCGUAGAUAUUGGGAAGAACACCGGUGGCGAAGGCGGCUCACUCGGCUCGGUAACUGACGCUGCAUGCACGACAGCGUGGGGGAUCAAACAGG